rnacentral:rRNA from 1 species
UACGUAGGGGGCGAGCGUUGUCCGGAUUUAUUGGGCGUAAAGAGCUCGUAGGCGGUUCGAUAAGUCGGACGUGAAAUCUCCACGCUCAACGUGGAGGGGCCGUUCGAUACUGUCGUGACUCGAGUCCGGUAGGGGAGUGUGGAAUUCCCGGUGUAGCGGUGAAAUGCGCAGAGAUCGGGAGGAACACCCGUAGCGAAGGCGGCACUCUGGGCCGGUACUGACGUUGAGAAGCGAAAGCAUGGGGAGCGAACAGG